GACGAACGCUGGCGGCGUGCCUAAUACAUGCAAGUAGAACGCUGAAGGAAGGAGCUUGCUCUUUCUGGAUGAGUUGCGAACGGGUGAGUAACGCGUAGGUAACCUGCCUGGUAGCGGGGGAUAACUAUUGGAAACGAUAGCUAAUACCGCAUAAACUUGAUUAUUGCAUGAUAGUCAAUUAAAAGGUGCAACUGCACCACUACCAGAUGGACCUGCGUUGUAUUAGCUAGUUGGUGGGGUAACGGCUCACCAAGGCGACGAUACAUAGCCGACCUGAGAGGGUGAUCGGCCACACUGGGACUGGGACACGGCCCAGACUCCUACGGGAGGCAGCAGUAGGGAAUCUUCGGCAAUGGACGGAAGUCUGACCGAGCAACGCCGCGUGAGUGAAGAAGGUUUUCGGAUCGUAAAGCUCUGUUGUAAGAGAAGAACGAGUGUGAGAGUGGAAAGUUCACACUGUGACGGUAUCUUACCAGAAAGGGACGGCUAACUACGUG
rnacentral:rRNA from 1 species